rnacentral:rRNA from 1 species
AACGUAGGAGACUAGCGUUAUCCGGAUUUACUGGGCGUAAAGCGUGUGCAGGCGGUUCGGCAAGUUGGAUGUGAAAUCUCCCGGCUCAACUGGGAGGGGUCGUUCAAUACUACCGAACUUGAGGGCAUCAGAGGAAGGUGGAAUUCCGGGUGUAGUGGUGAAAUGCGUAGAUAUCCGGGGGAACACCAGUGGCGAAGGCGGCCUUCUGGGAUGCUCCUGACGCUCAGACACGAAAGCUAGGGGAGCGAACGGG